rnacentral:rRNA from 1 species
AACGAACGCUGGCGGCAUGCCUAACACAUGCAAGUCGAACGCGUGGAGCGAUCCACGAGUGGCGCACGGGUGAGUAACGCGUGGGAACCUGACCUGGAGUGUGGGAUAACCCGGCGAAAGCCGGGCUAAUACCGCAUACGACCUGAGGGUGAAAGAUUUAUCGCUAUAGGAGGGGCCCGCGUCGGAUUGGCUGGUUGGUGAGGUAAUGGCUGACCAAGGCGAUGAUCCGUAGCUGGUCUGAGAGGAUGAUCAGCCACACUGGGACUGAGACACGGCCCAGACUCCUGCGGUAGGCAGCAGUGGGGAAUAUUGGACAAUGGGCUGAAGCCUGACCCAGCCAUGCCGGGUGUGUGAAGAAGGCCUUUUGGUUGUAAAGCACUUUACUCUAGGAGGAGGCUCUUAAGGGUAAUACCCGUGAUGAGUGGACGUUACUCGCAGAAUAAGCACCGGCUAACUC